AAAAAGUUUUAAAAUGUAAAAUUGUGUAGGAAAUGAGAGAGAAUAUGAAGAUAGAGCCAUUUUUUAUUUUUAUUUUUUGGUUAUUAUUGCUUUUAGGAAAACUUCUGAUUUUUCCUGUUUUAAUAAUAUUAUACUAAAAAUUCUACAUUGACUUCCUGGGUGCACAGAGUUGGCCUUUGCCCCUUCCAGAGAUCCCAGUCCAGCAAUUUACAGAUUUCCAGACACAGUGAAACCACAUCCUGGAUGCAAACCAUACCACAACUAUAUGUACUUUUGAGCCAGAAAAAUUACUCUCAACCAUUAAGGGCUGCAUGGAUAUCUCUUUUUAAUUUCCUUUCAAUACAAUCAACAUCCAAGGAAAAGUGAAAUAAGGCACUCGCCUACCGUUUUUCCAAAUGGCUGACAGCCUGCAUGCCCAUUGCUGAAUCACAAGCAAGACAAUAGGAUGAUGCAGUGCCAUCAGGAAGGGAAGCAAAAGGCUGGGAUUCACUUCACGUGGUGGUAAGUCAGAUGAGAAUGUUGUGCAAUUGACAUUUGUAAUUACAAUGGCAAGGGAUCUUAAGCAGGAAAUGGCCCACUGGUAGAUUAGGAGGACACCGUUACAAAUCACA
rnacentral:lncRNA from 1 species